rnacentral:lncRNA from 1 species
AAAAAAGGAAGUUCCCGCUAUCUGGACUCAGAGUCCCACCCCUGGGGACGUGCUCCAACGGCAAGCAGUUUCAGGAUCACUUUGCAGGCUUGCACAGCUUUGCUCCCAUUAAACCUCUGAUUGCGUCUGUUGCCAUUUGGAACAGAGAUUCUUCGAUCAAGUCUUCAACAACAUGACACUGGAUCUGGUAAGUGUGUGCGGACCAGUCAUAGGUGUGCAGAUGUCUUCCACUCGGACAGAAGAUGGUAACCAUGUCCACAGGCACUGCCACAGACUGUCAGGGACAAACAUGUUGUUGCUAUUAUUUUUCAGCUAAAAAAAUAAGCUCUUUACAAUGCAUAGUUGGAGGAGCUUAGUCCACAGAUUCAAAGCCAUAGAAUUACAUGUUCUUAAAGACUCACAGGAGAUAACAAAGCAGAAAACACAUGUAGUGUUUUGUGGAAAGUCCUGAGGGCUGUGUGUCAGGGCCAAGCUGAAUGGGCAGGGGACUUGCUCCAGCCACCCCCCAGGGACCCAGCUCCAGCCCUGCCUGUCCUUCUUCCACUUCCCCUUUAUCUGAAGCAGUGGACAAGAGAAGGAGGAGGUGCCAAAGGACACCAGGGGUCCUGGAGGAACUGAAGCCACCACGUGCUGCAGGUGGAGGAGCCUGUAACCUCUUAAGGAAGAGUGGUUAGAAACUGCGGCCCUGAUUUGAAUCCUGAGGGCCCUUCGUGACACUUUCACUUCCAACAGCCACCACCUGUGAUGGUGUCCUGCUGUGACUCGGGACUAAGCAAAUGUGAUCCUGCCUGUUCCCAACCCUGGGAGGCCAUGCCCAAGUCUUCACCCAAGUUUCCUCAGUAAGACUGGAAGAAGGUGGGGCAGCAAAGCCCCUUUGACAAUGCAUAGCAGGAGUGUGAGUCCCGUGUCACAAGGGGACUCACAGCUCUGACGCCUUGACCAGAACAAAUGAUGUUUCUGACAAGAGGACUUGACAAGAUCCUCACGGAAUCACACAGGAUGUCACCUCCUGAGCUCUUCCAGAGCACAGAGAUGGAAGGGACACCGGGAUGGCGGGAAGGGAGGUUGGGAGCCAAGGAUCAUGGCAGUGUCCUCCAGACCCCUGGGUGUGGACUUGUUGGCCAAUGCUUCUGCAAACAAGGGGGAUGUAGGUGAUCUCACUUUCCCAAGGGCAGUGCUCAAGGCCAGGGCCAGGCCAGGGCCAGGCUGAGCUCUUACGCUUGGCUUUUGCUCUGGAAAGUUCUCUCUUGGUGUGCUGCAGAGCACAGCCCUGAAGCACAGGAUAGUGGACAAAACCCCCGUGACGGCCCAGGCUCCACCAGGCCAGCCUUCGCCCACUCAGAGCCAAGAGAAAGCAAACAGGCCUCUGGACAGCUGAGUGGAGGCUGCAUGUUCUCCUCACACACCACUGACUUGCUGGGCCCAGAGCCUGUGCUGAGGAUACCCCACACACCCAGGACCCAGGCUGGCUUCUGAGGAGCACCUGGAACAGCCAGCUGGGCAGUGGGCUCAAACUUCUCUGCCUUAGUCAACUUGAUUUUGGAUGGACUGAACAUGUCAUGUGGCAUGUGAAUGAGGGACCACCCCCUCCCCCCGCCCCUUGCCCUCUACCUCUUGGCUCCUGGUGAGCACAUUUGGAUCAUGACUGGCUAGAGCACAGUCCUCCCCACAUCCCUCUGUCUCUGGAGCACCUCCACCCCACAAAGCUCUACUCGUUCUGCAACUCCCACCAGAAAGACGGUCAUAGACUUCCUGAUACUUCCUGGUGAGUGGUAGGCAAGGACCAGAUCAAUCAACCAAUCAACCAACUAACCAACCAGCCAACCCAGAUACUUGGGAUGCAUUUUCCCAAAGACAGAGCCUUGUGAGGGAUGCCCAGGCCCAGAUGCAGCCCCCAGGGCUCCACUCCACAUCUGUGGAGCAACCAGAAAUCAUGGAUCCAUCUCAACCCCACAGAUUCCUCACAGCUGAACUGGGGAGCCAGUGCCAUUCACAGGGCAGAGACUGGGUUACUGAGCAUGUCCCUGCCUGGCCUUUCCCGGCCAAGACUUGAGUGGUAGGAGCCCAGAUGGCUUAUAUCGGCAGGGCCUCCAGUCUUCUUUCAGGAUGCCCCUGGGGCUUGUGAAGGCCAAAGAGACUUGCCAAGUGACAGGUGCAUUCUGUGAGUCUGUUCGUUCCAAGGAAAAUUUCUGGUUUCACUUGAUUCUUAUCCAGAAUGAGGCUUAGGUGCUCGUCACUAUCAUGGGGCACUGAGGGGGCAUUGUAACCACUUUGGAAAGGCAGUUUUUUCCCUCCUGAUUUGCUUCACAGUAAAGGUGGCACUGCAGCUAAUGCAAAACGAGUAAACUGUGGCAAAUGUCAUCAGCAGGCUCCCCCACCAGGAACCCUCGCUUCUUUCAGACUCUGCUGAGUCCCUCUGGGGCACUCUUGUCCUCUAGAGCACUUUGAGAUACAUCAUAGUGUCACUGUAAAGCCAAACCCUUGUCCCAGUGCGGCAGAGCAUGACCAGGCCAGCUAGAACACAGCAAGCCAGGGCUGAGCCAAACAAGGGCACGCUGACCUGUCACCCUACAGAGGCCAAGGCCUGGUGCUCAUGCCCACUCCUUAUAGUGCCAUGGCCCCCAAUCCCCAGUAUCCACCAUCCUCGGACCUCAGCCUCCUGGGAAGCUGGGAUUGCAGCCUGCAGAAAUGGGCAGAAGGGAAUGGCAGCGCAGACCCAAGGGCCAACCAAUAGUGUCAGUGCUUUCCAAACCCGAUUGGCAUAAGUUUUAACCAAUAGCUUUUAGUACUUUUCCAAACCUGAUUAGCAUAAGUAUGGACCAAUAGUGUUGACCCAAGUGCUAUAUAAACCCCUAGACCAACACACUCAGUAACCCACCUGCUACUGGUUACUCUCUUGUCUUUGAGUUCUGUUUCUAUGCUUCACACUUGAAUAAAUCCUACAUCUCUCACUCUUGCUUUCUGUUGUCCCAUCAAUCUCAUUCUUUGGACUUGCUAAAAAGAACCCAGAAAGACGAGACGUUGACAGUGAGCUUCUGGGGUCUGUUGCACCCUGGAGAGCAGAGUCCCACAUACAGCUGCAACACUGGGAGCUGAGCCCACCGUUCCAUGGUAGUGGAGAAGAACAUGGCUUUCCACCCUCGACCCUCAGAGUAAAUGCUGAAGUGGUGAAUUAAGUUUUAUCUCAAACUCUGGUUUCACUGGUUCUUCAACUGGCUCCAAGGCUGUCCCCACAGCUACUCUGCCGUGCUCACCUUCCCAGAGGACCUCUCCCCAUCCCUACAGGUGGCGUGCCACCUCUGAACACAGCAUGGCACACAACGCUUCUGGAAGUCUCUCUGAGAACAGUAAGUCAAAGUGCAUGUUUCACUGAGCUCUUGCCAACAGCACUUAUAAGCACAGAGCCCAAGUCCUGGCAUGUGGUAGAUGCUCUGGGGGACGUUGAAGAGGUGGCACAUAUUGCACAAUGAACCCUCCUAUUAUGCUGAAAGUCAUGGUCCUCCCACCAGCCUACCACCCUCGGAAAUGUGUAGCCUGGGUCCCAGGGCCCAAGCCAGAGCUGACUCUCAGGCUCAGCUCAUUAUUCACAUGCCGUCUCCUGGGGCACAUCUGCAUUGCCAAAGUUCUGAAAGGGUCCGACAGCUCUCAGAUGCAGUCACUUGUGUUCUGACCACCCACCUACACACCCCAUUUGCCUCUGAAGAGCUUGCUUAGUGAAGCCCAUAAACACAAUUCCCCUGUCGUAGCCAGGAUUCUCCAGAGGAACACAACCGAUAAGUUGUACAUAGAGAGAGAAAAUGAGAUUGAUCUUAAGAAAUCGACUCAAGCAAUCAUGGAGGUUGGCAAGUUCAAAAUCUCAGAGUAGGCCCAGGAAGGAGUGGAGGCAGCUCCAAGCUGAAAGCCAUCUGCAGGUAGAGUUCCCUCUUCUUUGGGGGAGAUCAGCCUCUUAAGGCCUUCAACUGAUGGGAUGAGGCCCACCUACAUUAUAGAGAGCAAUGUACUUUAUUCCAGGGCCACUGAUUUCAAUGUUAAUCUCAUCCAAAAAAUACCUUCACAGCAACAUCUAGACUGGUGAUUGACCAACAAUGGGGCACCACAGCCCGUCGAAGCUGACACAUAAAAAUAACCAUCAUGCCCUGUAGUGACCACAACCCUUGGAGCUGAGUGCAGCCAGUGUGGCUAUAAAGAGGGCUGAAGUCUAGGAGAUGAGGCAGGGCCUGCCCGGGGCAAAGUGCCUCAUAGACCAUGGGCUGCCAGAGGGAAGGGACCGUGGUGAAGUGGACGUGGGUCCCCUCUGCCAAGCCCAAGGCAGAGCACAAGACAGAUGCUUCAUGAGGAGUAAGGUACAUCGUGGACUCUGCCCCCAAGUGGCCUGGGAUCCAUCCCCCUGUGCAGCAGGUGUGCUGGCCUCUCUGUACUUCAGUUUCCUCACCUGAAAAUAGAAAUAAUGAAAAGGAAACAAUAAUUGUUAUGAGGAUUAAAUGAGUUAAGGUUUGUAAAAGGCUUCAGUGACCCUCCAGCUGCUUGUCAAGUAGAGUAAAAGCUUCCCUAGGUAUGGAGCGCAGAUUUCAUCACCAGUUGGGUUACACCAGCGUCCCCCCAAAUCUAAGCCUAUUCCCUGGGAGGCAAGUCAAGGCCCUCCUGGGACAGGUCCCUGCAUGGCCCGUCCACAAAAGGAGUGUGCGGGUGCAGAGCGGGAGGGCUGGGUCUGGCCACACCUGCGCGUGCACAACCCAGUCGCUGACCGCACAGGCAGCCGCCUUGCCGUGGGCUUCUGCACAGGACAGCAGAGCUUCUCUUGUUUGACCCUCACAGAGCAGGGACAUACAGCAUGGCAGGUCCAGGAGUUGCCUCAAUCUCUUCAAGGAAUGUGCGACUAGUGGCCGCCUCUCAAGAUAGCAUUUCUGUCUCUAAAAUUAAGUUUCCUCAAAAUUGGUGUCAAACUGGGUGCAUUUGUGAAGACUGAAUAUUUAGUUCAGCACUAGUAGGAAUGGCAACAAGGAUGACCAGGCUGGCCUCGGCCAUCCCUGUCAGAUAGAACCUAACGUGGGAGACAAAGGAGGAGCAGGAGGAAGAGGAGACCAACACGAGUCUUCUUAUUUCUAGGAUUCUUGGAAACAUCUGAGUAAGACAGAAAUAGGACUGUUGAACGCAGAAAGAAAUCCAGCCAGCCUGAGAACAGAACUAUUCAGUGCCUUCGGAGCCUGGGUUGAGCAAUCCCUGAGCUUCUAAUUCUUACCAGAGACAGUGCUGCUAACAUGCACAGCGGGUGGGAGAACACUGUGGCCUCCUGUUAAGUUGUCCUCACCCCAGCUUUCUCCACUGCAGAGCCUCCGGCCCAAAGCCACUAUGGUGACAAGCUGGAGGGGACCAGGAUAGGCGGGGAGGCGAGCCACCCUUCCCAUCUUUGCCUUGGCUCCCUCCAACCCUGAGUCCGUCUGAGCCUUCAGCACUCGAGGAUGCCUCUUGCAGGGUGGGAUCCCUCAGGUCCAGUGGGAGAAGGGGAUGGAGCAGGGACGGGAGGGGUGCUGUUGCCCCUCCAAUGCCCCCCCCCCAUGAGAAGCUUAGAAUACUUGAUCUUUCUGACCACAGUCUCUUCGUAGCCCAGCUCUUUCUUCAAAGCAAAGCGGCAUGGGAACCUGCAGGCAAAGCGGCCAAGGGCGGAGCUGCUCUCCUGAGCCGAGCGUCCAGUUCCUGCCACAGGACAGGUGCCUGCUAGCUGAGUGGCCUUGCACCGGUGAGUGCCCCCUGAGCCUGCAUUCGCCCAUCUGGGAAAGCAAAGAGGACACUUUGGAGUCUGCUUUGAGGGCAAAUCAAGAGCCGCACAGAUGGCUUGAAGCAUGACACUAGCACCCACCAGUAGCUCUACCCUUCCCUUAUUUGUGGGCGGUGAAGGCAAAGAAGAUCCUCAAGUUGCUGGGCACGGUAGUGUAUGCUGUAAUCCCAGCAGCUCAGGAAGCUGAGGCAG